AAAAGAUUAGUUAAAAAUAUAACAUUAGAAUGUCAAACUAAAAUUAUUGAUAUAUCAAUAUCUUUUG
rnacentral:tRNA from 1 species